rnacentral:tRNA from 1 species
GCGGAAUUAGCUCAGUUGGUUAGAGCACCAGCAUGACACGCUGGGGGUCACUAGUUCGACUCUAGUAUUCCGCA